AAAACCCAAACCUCAACAGACGGUGGUGAGAUCUGAUCAACGUAUGGGGGGUGCAGGGACCUCUGAGAGGAAUGUUUCUGUGGCGAUUCCUAAACAGGUCCCGCCCGAGUGGCAAGCAGGGCUAAAGAGUGCCAUAGUAGAUACUGUCUACCAAUUAAAGCCACUAAAGCAGUUAGAAAAGCUAUUUCAGGGCAUUCUCCAGAACUUUCAGGGGAAUCAGCUUGAAGUGGCUGUGAAGAGCGUUUUGAGAGGCUCCCUGUUGCCAACGCCCCACCAACCUCUGAGGAGAUUAGGCGGAUUGGCGAGCUGGCUAGCAACCUGAGCGGCAGGGCAGCGAGGCCAUCACAGGCAUCUCCUGCCCUUCCUAAGAUGGCGACGGUUGCGAAGAAUCCCUCCAUUUUACCUGAAGGAGCUGGUAAUGUAAAAGGGAGACAGUCUCUAAAAGGGCGGGAAAAGCCUAGGACUGUGAUGAUGGUGUUUGGCCAGCAGGGGGAGUCUGCUGCAGAGACGGGGCCUCAAGAAGCCUCCAGUUCUAACUCUGCUGUUCUACCGAAGUCUGUGCCGCCACCUGAGUAGCAAGCAUGGUUUCGCAAUGCAGUCAUUGGCACCAUCUACCAGCAGACCACUACAGAUAUGUGGAGGACACCAAAUGCGGAUGCCCUCAUUUCGCAAGUGGUGUCGGAUUCCCUGGUAUCUCGAGAGGGUGAGUUUUUUUCUAAAAGACAAGAAGGCCGAGCUGUCAUUUAAUUGUGUCAUGAGAACGUGUCCCUGGUUGUCCGUGCGACAGCGGCAGCAUCCAGGGCAGCCCAUGACUCCUUAUUAUAGGUGGUCAGUCUUAUUAUAGGUGGUCAAUCUUCUGAGUGAUCCUCCAGGGGACCCAGUUAAGAUGUGACGGCAACUAUUAAAGAUCCAGAAGGCGCAGGUCCUUAUGGCCGAUGCCACUCUUGACACGAUGAGAUUCUCAGCGCAAGUGGUGGUUUCAUCAUUUGUUGGCAUAUGCCACCUGUGACUCAAAGGGGGACAGUUGGUUCUACCUCUAGGCUUAACCUCGCUACCGUCUCUUACGACGGCAAGAAGCUUUUUGGUGAGUCUGCCCUACAAGACAUUCUUGUAGAAUCGUCUGAUAAGUGAAAGACGAUGCCUUCAACCAAUAAAAAGACUGAUAAACAGCAUUUCAAAAGGCCCUUCCAAUACAAUCGGCCCUUUCAUAGCUUCUGGCCCUUCAGGGGCCGGGACAGAGAUACAAAAUUCCAGAGGGAAUCGUCAGAGAGCACCCUUUAGAGGGUUUAGUACCUACAAACGGCAAGCUGUUCAGUCAAAAGCUACUACAAUGACUUGAAGCAGGGAGACCUGCUCUCUUUUUUCGACUUAAAAGAGGCGUACCUACAUAUUCCUAUCCAUCCAAAGAGCAGGCGGUUUCUACGUUUCAAGUCGAUUUACAGUGCAGGCUCUGCUGUUCGGCCUGGCAUCCGCACCCAGGGUCUUCACCACGGCCCUGGCACCAGUCAUGGCCCACCUGAGACUUUGAAGGGUCCACGUUUUUGCGUAUUUAGACAAUUUUCUCAUGAAAUCAAGCUCUCCAGAAGCAGCAGCAGUCGACCUAGCAGUAACUCUAUCCACCCUGGAACAACACGGGUUCCUCAUAAACAAAAAGAAAAGCUACCUGACGCCCACUCACAGGAUUCAACAUCUGAGAAUGGUCAUAGAUACCUUGCAAGGGCUCCUUUUUCUACCAAGGGUAAGAAUCCAUACACUCAUAUCAAAAGCAUGUCUGGCCUCCCAGUUAUGGGAGGGCCCAGUACCCAGUAGGGCUAAUGGUCUCCAUGCUGGAGGCAGUUGCUUGGGCGAGGUUCCACCUCAGGGAGUUGCAGUGGUUCCUCCUGACGUUCCAAUCUUUCAUUUCCAGAAGAAAGAACAUGAUGGUCCAUAUGCCGUCCAGGGUCAGGUUAUUGCUUCGGGGGUGGAAGUCCCCACAGGACUUGUCCAGAAGGAAGAGAUUCUUAAGGUUCCCGAGAAUGAUCGUGACGACGGACGCCAGCAACAGAGGUUUGGGAGCUCAUUGUCUCCAAUUCUCGGUCCAAGGGAAAGGAAGUCAGGAAGAAAAGAAACACUCAGUAAAUUGGCUGGAGCUGCGAGCCAUCAGCCUAGCACUCUUACAUCUCCGUUCUCAAGUGUCAGACCGGGAUGUCCUGAUAAGCCGGACAAUACAACAACAAAGGCCCACGUCAACAGGCAGGGCGCUACGAGGUCCAGGUCCCUGUAUCAGGAAUCGAUCCUUCUGAUGAGUUGGGCAGAACGCCAUCUGAAAUCCAUCGCAGCCCAACAUGUGAAAGGGGACCUCAACGCAGUUGCUGAUUGACUCAGCAGAGAGGAUCUACUCCCAGGAGAAUGGGCAUUGAACAUUCAAGUUUUCGAACAACUGACAUGCAGGUGGGAGUCCCCAGUGGUAAAUCUGUUUGCAACACCUCUCAACGCAAGCUAAACAGGUACAUCAUCAGGUUCCACUGCCGGUCGGCGGUGGGGACAGAUGCCCUCUCCUGACAAAUGUCCAAGGGGCGUACUGUAGGCCUUUCAGAGUUUUAUAGAGUAAUAAGAACUAAGAUGGACCUUUCCCCAGCAAGAUAUCUGUCGACAAUCACUUUUUCUAAGUUUUGAUGGAUAUUUACAAGAGUAAGGGUUAACUCCUUUCCAUCUGCACUUCUAGCCGUGAGGUUUCAGGGUGUGCCUUUAGAAGAACGACACUGUAGUUGUGGGUCAGGAGAUACAGAAACUGUUGCACAUAUUCUUCUCCAUUGUAAAUUCCAUUUAUAUCCAAGGCACGUAUUAUUGCUCCUUUAAUAUGUAAACUGGUAGAUCAAUCCAAUGAUAAUCUCAGAUAAAGAUGCUACAAUCUCUAUUUCUGUAGCUAAGUUUAGUUAUAUUGCUUUUAAGAGGUAUAAUGGGACAUUAUCCUAAUUCUAAACUUUGUGUAUGUGUGUAUAUAUAUAUAUAUAUAUAUAUAUAUAUAUAUAUAUAUAUACUCACACACACAUACAUUUUAAUAUUUAUUAGUUUUUAUUCUCUGUUUGGUCAACGACUGUAAAUAAAAUGACAACACAAUACAAAUGGUCCCCUGUCUCCAAAAGGCUCACAAUUUAAAAGAAACAUAAGGCAGUUAACAGCAACAGUCACUGGAGGGAUGCUGUGCUGGGGCUGGAUAAGGCCAGUUGCUCUCCCACUACAAAAUACAAGAGAAUCACCACUUUAAAAAGGGGUCUCUUUGCUCUCUCUCUAGGGGACUAACUUUACUCCCAUUUGGCUGAGAAGUGGCCUUUCGUAAGCCCUUUCCUCACCUUGCCCCACAGCCUGCCUUCUGCCUUUCUUCAGGGAUUCCCCGCACUCUUUUUGCCCCCCUUUCCUUGCAGAAAUCCCCUUCCUGGCCUUCUUGGAAAUGCAGCUGGGCAGGCCAAGCCCGGAGCUGGACACAAGUGCCUGGACAGGCCAGAUCCGGGAGCCCGGUGAGCCUUGCCUGCUCUCUGCAGCCUCUCUGGCCCUCCCGCCCUGCCCCGCCCUGCUGCAGUGGGCCCGGAAGUCAGUGGCUGCCUGCUGGGCGGGAGGAGCAGCCCACAGGCCCUGACAGCCGCCUCCUGGGCACUGCCCUCCGUAGCCCAGCAGAGCAGCCGGCCUGCUGGAGAUCAGCUGCCAGGGCUGCCGUGUCUGCUCCGGGGAAGGGAGCCAAACUCCUCCCAGUCCCCUGCUGCUGCCCCAGGGCUCAUCCCAGCACAGGGGACAUCGGGACAUAGGAAGCUGCCUUCUUCCAAGUCGGACUCUUGGUCCAUCCAGCUCACUAUUGUCUACCCAGACUGGCAGCAGCUUAAUCGAGGUUUCCAACAGGAGAUGCUGCCAGAGAGGGGACUUGGAGCCUUCUGCAUGCAAGCCUGCAGGUGAGUUCUCCCCAUCCCCUAAGUAGACCAUACUGAGCUAGAUGGACCGAUAGGCAGACUCGGUAUAUGGUUGCAGGGCUUGGUCCUUUUCCGGGGUGGGUGGGUGGUGGGUUUGUUUGGGAAGAUUUUCCUGGAUGAGCCCCCGGAAUGAACCUUUCUGCUCAAGCAGCUGGCUGAAUAGAAGAGAGCCCCUCGUGGCGCAGUUGUAAAACUGCCACCCUGUAACCAGAAGGUUACAAGUUUGAUCCUGACCAGGGGCUCAAGGUUGACUCAGCCUUCCAUCCUUCUGAGGUUGGUAAAAUGAGUACCCAGAAUGUUGGGGGCAAUAUGCUAAAAUCAUUGUAAACUGCUUAGAGAGCUCCGGCUAUAGAGCGGUAUAUAAAUGUAAGUGCUAUUGCUAUUGAUAUUGCUAAGAGGCAGUAACAUCAAAACCGAUGCAGAGACGGCCUCGCAAUUAAUCUAUCCACCUUUUCUUUCCUAACUAAUCUCUGAGAGGACUGUAGUUGGGAGUGUGCAAGAUGCAAGAUCCUUCGUAUUUUUUCACUUCAUUUUCUUUGAACCUCCUACUGCCUUUCUUAGAACCAAUUAUAGAAUGAUUUGCAGUGCUAAGAAGGGGGCUGGUGGAAGACGGUGCUUGACCGAUGGAGAUGCCGUAUGGAUGUUUUUUCUACUUUUUUGUUGCAGAGUCUAAAGCUCACAUUUUAAUUAGCUCAGAUUUCAGCUAGAAGAUUGUAAUUUAUACUUUGAACUCUGACUUAGUCACUGUCUUGGCAUUCCGGUGUUAACAAGAUGCUGUGAUGUUCGAAUCCUGCUUGGAUGUUGUUGUCUCCCCCCCCCCACUUGUGGGUAAGGAAACCUUAGCUGUGUCUUAAAAUGAUGAGAGAGUUUCCAGCCAGUUAUUUUACCAUAAUCUUACCCCUUGUUAUUGUCUACUUUGUACUUUUAUAUCUUUGUAUAUAUGGUUUUGGAUACCACUCAUGGAUAUACAACAAACUGUAAUCUUACUGGCAUGUUAGAGCUGAGAAUUUUAAAUAUGGCUCUGCGCUAUUAAGAAAAAUUCACUUCAAAUUUGGUGUUUUUGGGGUGGUCAGCAUCCUCUUUCUUCAUGAGCAACUCCUUUAUAUAACAUUUCAACAUAUUGAUACUUGGGGGAGCCAGAAGUGAGGUUCAAAAACUGUUCCUCCAUUCUUUAUAUGUUUGUUUCCUAUACAUAUAUUCCCUCACAUACCAGAUUUCAGUUUUAUUCUGUCUUUUUUGGUUUUCAAAGGGACCUUCACAGCUGAGAGCUGAAAUGUUUUUCUCUCUGCAUUUUUUGCAUUUUCAUUACGUCCUUAUAGAUUUUCUUGCUGUGUUUUAGUAGAGAGGAGAACCAAACAAGAAAUGAUAAUAAAGAAGCGUGAAGACUUUGCUGCA